AAAAACCAUAUAGUUAAUUCUCAUUUUAAGUGUUUGCUGUUUUAUCUUGAACAUCUUUCUUUCAGAAUGAUUUGAGUCUUGUUGGUAGGCAUUGUUCAAUAGUCAACAUAAAUGCAACUUUGUAUUUUGAAUGAUCAGUCUAACUUCUCCAUUGAAACAAGCGACAGAUCUUCAGUGAGCAAAGAGGGCAGUGGAAGGCAGGAACCCAACCCCAGGAGUUCCUUUGAACCCUUCAGCGUUAAUACAAUUAUGCUUACACAGAUCCUGAGAAGCAGGAUGCUAUAAAUGUAUUCUUGGGCCAUUUCCAGCCUCAACAAGGCAAACCUCCUCUUGUGGAAGUUGGACUGAGAUCAGCAUUACAAUAUUGGCCGCCAAGGAACUCUAAGUGAAGAAACUGGAAGACUGAUGCAGAAGCAAAGCAUUUCAAGAAAAAUUUCCUCCAACUGAGGGCAAGAAGGGGCCUACACCACUGACAGCCAUUGCCAUGCAGAAACGGUGAGCCCAGUGCACGGUGUUCACUUUCCUAGGAGUGCUAGUAGCAUCUGCAAAUAGUGCCAGCUCAAAAUAAGCACGUGCAUCGUAUUACUUGCUCUAUCUUGAGAAUGUAGAUUCAUUUGGUUGGGAUAUAGUUGG